rnacentral:lncRNA from 1 species
GUGAUGCUCAGUGAUGCUCAGUGAUGGUCAGGCUUAGAGAUAGGACCGAGUCUAGCUAGCAUCCUUGCCUUGGUGAUUGGGGUUUGUCCUAUGGGCAAGAAGAUAGGAAGGUUGAGAGGAGUGGGUGACCCUAUUCUGAAGGACAGUGGUUUGUGAAGGACUGGGGUUCUUAAACAUUUUGGCCUUGGGAUCCUUUGUUUUCAUUUAUAUGGCUAUACGUUCCCUCCUUGUCACGCGAAAAAGUAAAGCAAUGAAAAGCAUGUCUAUUAGCGGCA